CCUACGGGAGGCAGCAGUGAGGAAUAUUGGUCAAUGGACGCAAGUCUGAACCAGCCAUGCCGCGUGCAGGAAGACGGCUCUAUGAGUUGUAAACUGCUUUUGUACGAGGGUAAACGCAGAUACGCGUAUCUGUCUGAAAGUAUCCUACGAAUAAGGAUCGGCUAACCCCGUUACAGCAGCCGCCGGAAUACGGAGGAUUCAAGCGUUAUCCGGAUUUGUUGGGGUUAAAGGGGGCGUAGGCGGUCGGAUAAGUUAGAGGUGAAAUCCCGAGGCUCAACUUCGGAAUUGCCUCUGAUACUGUUCGGCUAGAGAGGAGUUGCGGUAGGCGGAAUGUAUGGUGUAGCGGUGAAAUGCUUAGAGAUCAUACAGAACACCGAUUGCGAAGGCAGCUUACCAAGCUACUUCUGACGUUGAGGCACGAAAGCGUGGGGAGCAAACAGGAUUAGAUACCCGUGUAGUC
rnacentral:rRNA from 1 species